AGUAAAUCAAAAAGAAGGAGACUUUUCUCAGUAAAUUCCAAAGUUUAAGCUCCAUGCUGCUGCGGUGCGCGUCCUCAGGAGGCGGAGAAGUGUUAAUGCCGCCUCUGCCAUGUUCCUAAAUUUAUAUUUCAACAGAGAUCAUCUUUUUCUUGCAAAAGCCAAAACUUCCCUCCCACUCCCACAGCAGGCGGUGAGAAAAGGAGUAGGAAAAGCAGCAAAACCACAAGUGAUUAUGCCAAGGAAAGCAAGCCUGGAGACUUCACAGCGAAUGAAGAGGAAAAAUGACGAUCUUGGAGACGCAUCGUGAAAAACACACAAGAAGAGGAAAAACAGAUCUGGAAAAAUAUGUUUUUGUCCCUGUUUUUUUUAAGACUAUUUUAAAAGAAGCCUUUUCCAGGAGCUCCAGAACUACAACUAAAGAAAAUACCAAUAAAAAAGACGCACCUAACAUGUUGAAGAUGAAAUCCUUUGCCGUGUGCACCUCCAAAGCCGUAUGGUCCCCGAACUCGCCCUGCUCCAGUAGGACCAACUCGGACACCUGAGAGGACAGCUGCUCCAGGGUCGCCCCGGACCUGAAGUCCACCUCACAGAGCUUCUUGCCGGGUGCCGGUGAGCGUGGCGACACAGCACUCAUCAGGGAAUCCAUGUCGACAGCCCUAUGAGGGGUCCCAAGACCACAUUCACAUACAAGUCCCCAGCGCUGCCGACACCCCCACGGCAACACUGACCGACUCUCCCGGAAUGCACCGUCCGUCCUACUCGGGAGGAUCCAGGGAUUAGCGGCUGAUGGCACGCAUUCUGCACGGCGCUGCAAAGGCGGCGGCGCUGCACUGGAGGGCUGGAGCUCAGCUCAAACAGCAAUGGCAAAAACGUCAUUAUCCUGUUCUUCUGUUAUCUCUGGCAAACACGCAUGGGCCUCAGAGGAUGAGCGCCAGCCAGCCUGCAAUCAUUGCCAUGCCCCCCACAGGGGCCACCUUGCGAAGGCCCGGGUCCCCAGUUAUGGCCUGGUGGUAGAGUGAGCCGCAGAACAUCCCCAUGCCGGCGAUCAGGAGGGUGCCAGCCUGUUUUAUUGACAGGAGAGGAAACAUAUGUAAUCCCAGUAAUUUACAUUGUUGCAACGUUAGCAUGGCAGCACACAUAACAUAACCCAGACUGUUGCUGCACAAAUGCCAAACAUCUUGUACAAAAUUGUGCAAAAAACAAAUUAUAAUAGUGUCUUACUAAAAAACCAAACUAUAACUGCAAUGUUAUACUGAGAAAAAUAAAAUGCAAUGUAUUCAUUAUUGUAUUCAUCAUGCAUAAAGAGCAACUCACUCACCACAGCAGGUUUACUGGAGUGGGCAGCACCCAGCAGCGCCAAGCUGUGGUAGA